GAAAUUAAUUAUCAUCUCCAAGAACAUACUGAGUAGUCCUAGUACAAUGUGGGGAGGUUUGAGAAAGGAAUUAAGGGGAAAAAGGGAGGGGCAAGGGAGCUAUAGUCAUUAAAGAACUGACUGCUUUCUGUUCCCCUUCAAAAAUGUCCCCUUCAAAACUUCUCAAUGAUUUCCUUCUGUCCAUGUUUCUGUUUUCUUCCAGAGUAUUUGCGGAGUAUGGAGAAAGGCAGUGGAAAGUCAUGAGGAGGGCAUUUGCAUCAAAGUAUUGCCUCAGCCAAGGAGACCCCAAACAUUCUAGUUGUUCUAAGGGUCUCCAGGAAGAAUUGCAGAUGCUUUCAUCCCACAAAGCAUGUUGCCUGGACAAGUGUUCAGGAAUUUUUUGCCUGCUGGCCAUGACAACGCAUGUAACUGUGCCUACAGGUCACAUCUGUGCUUCUUCAUGAAGAGACACAUUCUGACCCAGCUUCCAUGGCUGCUGUGGGGUAGAAGGAGGGUGCCUUUUCCCUAUGCACAGCCCACCUGAAGCCUGCCAAAAAUAACAGACCUCUCCAUAUCCAGGAGUAAUCCUUUAAAAGAAAGUCAUUUCUGCUACACUUCUCUCCUGUGUAAUGAUGCAAGCUGAUCCCAUCCAGUGUCAGAAGAGACUGCUGCUUUCCAGAACUUCUCCGGAUCUCUGAAAAGCUUGAUGCCAUAUGUUGCUGCCAUGCUCCAGCUACAGGAAGGUAGACCCAUGGUUAGAUUCAAUACUUUGGUUUCUCUCCAAAUCGUAUAAAUCUUUCUAUGAUUCAAUGUGCACAAAUACUCAGAAAUUACAUUAGGAGUGCAGUAUGACAUCUGUGUAAAAGGAAAUAUAGCUGUACAAAGCAUGGAUGAUGGGAUUAUAAUGGUUUAGAAUUGCUUAAAAUACUUUGUAAAAUCUGUCAUACUGAAGAAAUAAUUGUUUAGUUGUAGGAAUUCAUUUUUUCCUCUCCUUUUUGGACUCCAUAUGACAAAUGUUCCUAUUGUAGCCAACUCACAUGGGUGAAAAGGUUGGAUGCACUACAGUGACAUACUUCUGAUAACUAUCUGCAGUGUCUUCCAUAAAUUGGAGUGUACAUGAUGGUGAGAACUACUAAAGGAGUUAAUG
rnacentral:lncRNA from 1 species